rnacentral:misc_RNA from 1 species
GAUGAAGAACGCAGCCAAAUGCGAUACGCAAUGCGAAUUGCAGAAUUCCGCGAGUCAUCAGAUCUUUGAACGCAAAUGGCGCUCGGUUAACACAUACCCGAGCAUGUUUGUUUCAGUGUGUUCGGAAUCAUACAUCUUAAUGCGAUUGAAUUGAAUUAUUCUCUCGUUAAAUAUGAAAGCGCUGAAUUGUUCAGUGCCGAUCGAAGUAGUCACUUCUCAGAAAGUGAUCUCGAUUGUGCAAAACUGGGGAUUCACUUAAAGCGUCUUUAUAUAUAGAUAAUUAUAUUUAUUCUCCACUCCACACCUGAAAUCAAGCAAGAUCACCCGCUGAACUUAAGCAUAUCAAUAAGCGGAGGA